rnacentral:rRNA from 2 species
CCGUAGGUGAACCUGCGGAGGGAUCAUUACCGAGUUAUACAACUCCCAAACCCACUGUGAACCUUACCUCAGUUGCCUCGGCGGGAACGCCCCGGCCGCCUGCCCCCGCGCCGGCGCCGGACCCAGGCGCCCGCCGCAGGGACCCCAAACUCUCUUGCAUUACGCCCAGCGGGCGGAAUUUCUUCUCUGAGUUGCACAAGCAAAAACAAAUGAAUCAAAACUUUCAACAACGGAUCUCUUGGUUCUGGCAUCGAUGAAGAACGCAGCGAAAUGCGAUAAGUAAUGUGAAUUGCAGAAUUCAGUGAAUCAUCGAAUCUUUGAACGCACAUUGCGCCCGCCAGCAUUCUGGCGGGCAUGCCUGUUCGAGCGUCAUUUCAACCCUCGAGCCCCCCCCGGGGGCCUCGGUGUUGGGGGACGGCACACCAGCCGCCCCCGAAAUGCAGUGGCGACCCCGCCGCAGCCUCCCCUGCGUAGUAGCACACACCUCGCACCGGAGCGCGGAGGCGGUCACGCCGUAAAACGCCCAACUUUCUUAGAGUUGACCUCGGAUCAGGUAGGAAUACCCGCUGAACUUAAGCAUAUCAAUAAGCGGAGGA